rnacentral:rRNA from 1 species
AUACGGAGGGUGCAAGCGUUACUCGGAAUCACUGGGCGUAAAGCGCGCGCAGGCGGUCUUUUAAGUUGGAUGUGAAAGCCUACGGCUCAACCGUAGAACUGCAUCCAAAACUAUUAGACUAGAGUGUGGGAGAGGAAGAUGGAAUUAGUUGUGUAGGGGUAAAAUCCGUAGAGAUAACUAGGAAUACCAAAAGCGAAGGCAAUCUUCUGGAACACUACUGACGCUGAGGCGCGAAAGCGUGGGGAGCAAACAGGAUUAGAUACCCUGGUAGUCC